GCAGUGGAGACUCUUCAGGCUCAAGAUGACAAACACACUCACUCUGCUGCUGUUUGCUUUCUUUCUGCCAUGUGUUACAGGUCAGAGUUUGGAGUCUGUUCCUUCCAGUCCUGUAGUGAAACGGCCCGGGGAGACUCUCAGUCUCUCUUGUCGAGGAUCUGGUUCUGAAUUUACCUGCUGUGCUAUGAGCUGGAUAAGACAACAACCAGGAAAAGGACUGGAAUGGAUUGGGAUUAGCUUCACAGAUACUAGCAGAAACAGAUAUGUGAGCAGUUUGAUUGGACGUAUGGGAGUCAGCAGAAAUGACAGCAACUACAUAGUGUAUCUGAGGCUUUCUAACUUAAGGCCAGAGGACUCCGCUGUGUAUUACUGUGCCAGAGACCCACAGUGGUUUAAGUAA